GCAGGUCCACGCUCCUUUAAUCAGCGCUGGACGUUAAUUAACGAUCAGUGCGAACUAACCCGACACCAAGCGGAUGCCAGGCAACUUUUAUGCAAAUGAACAGUUUUAAAGUGUUUUGACUGAAACCUAGUGAAUUUAACACCCAUUAAUUGAAACACGCCGAGUUGCUCAGCCUCGUCAUCCAGUUGUCGGCGCUAACGCUGCUCUGAACCUAUCAACGAAUAAAGGGCAGGAAAUCAAAUCGCCACAUGCCUCGGCUCGAUCAACAGCAUCACGGCCGUAGCAUCCGGACAUCGUGUUGGUGGAGAUAUGAAAAAGCCAGACUUAACAGAUAGGCCGUCGCAGGAGUUUCGCAACGGGAGAGACUGAAAGGAACAGACUGGCUGCCCUCUGCCUCCAUCAAUGGACUCUGUGGCCCAGUAAAGCGAUAGACUCCACGUGAUUGACCCCUUGGGUGAAGUCCAGAUGAACUUCCAGCUGUUUGGUGUUUCAUUGCCAUCAGGAAAAAACAAAAACUGCAAAAACUGAAGUAAACAAAAAAAACCUGGAAGUAUGAUCCUUUUGAUGUGAAAUGGUGACGCAUUUCCUC